GACAGAGGGUGCAAACGUUGUUCGGAAUUACUGGGCGUAAAGCGAGUGUAGGCGGUCUCAUAAGUCGGGUGUGAAAGCCCCGGGCUCAACCCGGGAAGUGCACUCGAAACUGCGAGGCUAGAGUAUCGGAGAGGUUGGUGGAAUUCUCGGUGUAGAGGUGAAAUUCGUAGAUAUCGAGAGGAACACCGGCGGCGAAGGCGGCCAACUGGACGAAUACUGACGCUGAGACUCGAAAGCGUGGGGAGCAAACAGG
rnacentral:rRNA from 1 species